rnacentral:rRNA from 1 species
UACAGAGGUCCCAAGCGUUGUUCGGAUUCAUUGGGCGUAAAGGGUGCGUAGGUGGCGCCGUUAGUCGGGUGUGAAAUUUCGGAGCUUAACUCCGAAACUGCAUUCGAUACUGCGGUGCUUGAGGACUGGAGAGGAGACUGGAAUUCAUGGUGUAGCAGUGAAAUGCGUAGAGAUCAUGAGGAAGACCAGUGGCGAAGGCGGGUCUCUGGACAGUUACUGACGCUGAUGCACGAAGGCCAGGGGAGCAAACGGG